rnacentral:rRNA from 1 species
CAGUCGCCGCGGGAAAACGGAGGGUGCAAGCGUUAUCCGGAUUUAUUGGGUUUAAAGGGUCCGUAGGCGGAUCUGUAAGUCAGUGGUGAAAUCUCACAGCUUAACUGUGAAACUGCCAUUGAUACUGCAGGUCUUGAGUAAAUUUGAAGUGGCUGGAAUAAGUAGUGUAGCGGUGAAAUGCAUAGAUAUUACUUAGAACACCAAUUGCGAAGGCAGGUCACUAAGAUUUAACUGACGCUGAUGGACGAAAGCGUGGGGAGCGAACAGGAUUAGAUACCCCGGUAGUCCCUGUCUCUUAUAC